GGCAGACGGGUGAGUAACAUGUAGGUAUCUUCCCUUCGGCCUGGAAUAACACGAGGAAACUUGUGCUAAUACUGGAUAAGUCUUUACGGAGAAAGCUUUAUGCACCAUUGGAUGAGCCUGCACUUGAUUAGUUUGUUGGAGGGGUAAUGGCCUACCAAGACUGUGAUCAAUAGCUGAUUUGAGAGGAUGACCAGCCACAUUGGGACUGAGACACGGCCCAAACUCCUACGGGAGGCAGCAGUGGGGAAUCUUGCACAAUGGAGGAAACUCUGAUGCAGCGAUGCCGCGUGAGUGAAGAAGGCCCUUGGGUUGUAAAGCUCUUUCGUCGGGGAAGAAAAUGACUGUACCCGAAUAAGAAGGUCCGGCUAACUUCGUGCCAGCAGCCGCGGUAAUACGAAGGGACCUAGCGUAGUUCGGAAUUACUGGGCUUAAAGAGUUCGUAGGUGGUUGAAAAAGUUGGUGGUGAAAUCCCAGAGCUUAACUCUGGAACUGCCAUCAAAACUUUUCAGCUAGAGUUUGAUAGAGGAAAGCAGAAUUUCUAGUGUAGAGGUGAAAUUCGUAGAUAUUAGAAAGAAUACCAAUUGCGAAGGCAGCUUUCUGGAUCAUUACUGACACUGAGGAACGAAAGCAUGGGUAGCGAAGAGGAUUAGAUACCCUCGUAGUCUAUGCCGUAAACGAUGUGUGUUAGACGUUGGAAAUUUAUUUUCAGUGUCGCAGCGAAAGCGAUAAACACAC
rnacentral:rRNA from 1 species